AAUGGGGGAGGGGAAGCAGUUCUUUAUGUAGUGCAUCAAAUCAAUUAAACUGUAUUGUGAGCUCACUAUGGUCAUGGUAAUUAUACAACAAAGUGGCAGUAGAGACUGUAUCUAUAUAUCUCGGCCUGUGUCUCAGCAUCUAACAAGCAGCCUGGCACAUAGCCAACAAUCAGUAAAAAUUUGAUAAACAGAUGGAAAAAGACAUUGCAUUGAAUACUGUGGUGGGAAGGAACCAUGGAGUUCAGUGCACACGAAGAGGAGUGAAAUAUAGUCCUUAACUUUAAAGAGUUUGUAAUCUCACAAGGGAGAUUGUUCCAGUCACAAUUAGCCAUCAUUCAAGGUAGACUAUACACAGACAAGGGUGAUUAAUUCUGUUUUGGGGUGAUCAGGGAAAAUUUGAACAGAAAUGAAAUAAAAGUGAGUGGUGAAGGGUGAGUUGGAUGAGUCAGGCUGAGAAUGGCAAAUGGAAGGAAAACUGAGAGGAGUGAAAGUUUGAAACACGAGGGCUGUUGAGGCUUAGGGGAGUUGUAAAUAAUUCUCCAUUUCCCCCCUCUGGAAUUUCAGAGUCAGUUGAGAAGUCGUGCGGGGGUCACUCAGAGACCAGCAUCUCAGCUUUAUUAUUGAUUAGGACCUCACUCCCCCAUUUCCCCUUGCAGGUCAGACGUGUUCUGGUAAGCUCACUGCGUGGAUGAACAGGGUGAGGACAGCCCAUUCCAAAAGGAAGAAAGGAAAAAGCCACAUAGGCUCCCUUCCUUCUCUCAAACUUAUCCAUCUCUAGGAAGAAGUAAGCCAGGAGCCACAGAUAAAAGAGGCUUAGAACUACUGCUUCCAAAUUUUUCCAUCCUGGAGGCCUGAGCUGGGGAGCUUAGAAUUUUGAUCAUUACACUGGAUUUGACUGUUAAAGCUUGAUCUGCGAGAACGAUGGCUGCUAAAACAGACUUGGAAUAAAGAACAUCGCAGAUAGCAUGUAGGGCCACCAGAAGGGCCCCCUGAACUUGGAGAUAAAAAUCAAUGUCUGAUAACAGAAAAAAAAAUAAAAAUUAAAGAUAUGAUCUCUGCACACAAAAAUAAAUUUCAGUGUAUUGCUUAGGAGACUAGAACAAUCUGAUGCUUUCCAGGAUGCAUUCUUAGAACUGGAACACAAUGAAGAGGGUAGUAACAAAAAUCACUUGUGCUAUAAUAUAACAUGAUUGUAUAAAGGCUGUGUUAAAUAUAGAUCAUUGUCCUACAUGGAGCACAAAAAAAUUGGAAUCUUGAAGGAUAAGAAUAUUUUCAUUUGUCCUACCAUAUGCAGGGAGAAGUGUCCAAAGCAGACAGCAUUGUGAAUCCAGUUGGCUUCCUUCUCAGUUUUAUCCCAUGGUGGAGAUGAGCGCAUUAGGCUAUCAGAGCUUAAUA